rfam:Oscillibacter sp. 1-3 genomic scaffold acPPL-supercont1.2, whole genome shotgun sequence.
CAUACUGUCCGGUAGGUAAGGCUACCACAAGGAUACGGGUCGCUGCCGCGGAGUGAUGGAGACAUCAUGAGAGGGUUUGAACAGGCGAUAUCGAACAGGAAGGUAUCAUCUAACGCGAUUUCAUCGCCUUGUGAGGCUAAAGCUUGAACGGUUGGGGAAGACUG